rnacentral:rRNA from 1 species
CACGUAGGGUCCAAGCGUUGUCCGGAUUUAUUGGGCGUAAAGAGCUCGUAGGCGGCUUGGUAAGUCGAGUGUGAAAACUCUGGGCUCAACUCAGAGACGCCACUCGAUACUGCCAUGGCUUGAGUCCGGUAGGGGAGUGUGGAAUUCCCGGUGUAGCGGUGAAAUGCGCAGAUAUCGGGAGGAACACCGGUGGCGAAGGCGGUUCUCUGGGCCUGUACUGACGCUGAGGAACGAAAGCGUGGGGAGCGAGCAGG